UGUGUGUGUGUGUGUGUGUGUGUGUGUGCUGCGGGGCGCGACCUCCGGUGAACUUCCAAUCAGAUACUGACAAACCUGCUCCUCAUCUGCUGCUGCUCACCUGCUCUCCAUCCACCAGUCAACACCUGGCAGUACAUCUACCCGGCUCUUCUCACCAGUCUUCGCGAGAUCGUCCGUGUACUCAAGUGGUUGAUUCCUCUCACCUGCCUUCCAGAGAGAUCUCACCACGGACCCUCUGCUGCUCCACCACAGCCCGCUGUCCUCGCUCCGCCCGCCUGCUCUCACCAGUCUUGCCAGCCCGCUGUCUUCACCCAGUCCACCGGCUCAUAGUGAUUACCUCCAGACUCCUGGUUACUCCUUGUGUUUUUUACAAUAAACUGAAAGUACUACUUUAACUCCCUCUGUGCUAGUUGUGCUUUUGGGUCCAGCCUCUGUGUACCAUAACACUCCAAUUAUCUAUUAGUAAAGGAUCUUUAUCAAGCUUAGAGUUUUAUACCCUGCUUCAUAGUUGUGGACAUUUAUUUUCUAACAUUACAUUCUUUAAAUAAUUCCAAUGAAGGAUUUUCAAUGGUAUCCCAAAAAUGUACAUAGAAUUCAACAGAAAGCCCCUCAGUGCCUGGUGAUUUCCCUUUUUUCAAUGAGUGAAUUGCCUCUGAGAUUCAGAGUUUUGCAAUGGAUUGUUCACAUUUCAGCUGAAAGUGUUCAGAGACAGUGGGUGAUAGUACAAUGAAGUGAACAUAUGGCUUAUUUGAAAAUGAAAAUAAAAAGUAAACCACUCAAAAUGUAGGUUACACAGUAAACCUAAAGUAGUUGAAUCACCUUAUGCAGUAAAUCUCACACAGUCAAUAAUGGCAACAGAGACCUGCCAUGUGGUCGUCUUCCCCUGCUUCACAAAGGGCCAAAGUUUAUUUCCGCACUAAGUAAGUUAGAUCCUCCGACAUCCACAGAUUUUUUUUCUUCGUGACAUCAGCGUUGAGGGAAGCCCUCCAUACUUUGUGCCUGAAGGUGCGCGUGGUAAGCUGCAUAAUGAUAGGGCACAGGGGCGUUUGUGGGAUUUGAGGACAUUCGGGGCUAAGCCCGGAGCUCUGUAGAGGGGUCCGGGGGGGAUCCUCCCCUGUCAUUUUUGUUUUUUAAUAAACAAGCUCUAUUUUGAUGCUUUUUAAUGCACUCUGGUACCUUUUUAUUUAUAUUCAAAGUACACAACUUAAUCUUUGAAAAAUUAAAAUGUGUUCCUCAAAAACUGUUGUUUAACUUUCCAGAUUAAUUAUGAAUUGUGAUCACGAAAAUUAAUCGCCAACAAAUACUUGAUAAUCAUGUAAGUCAUCUUUUAGGCAAGAAUGCCAAAAAUUCAUUGGUUUCAGCUUCCCAAAUUGAAUUUUUGCAAUUUGAAAAUGUCAGCUUGGGAAAUUAUGAUGGGCAUUUUUCACUAUUUUCAGACAUUAUAUAGGCCAAAUGAAAUGAUUUUGUACUUGUGGCACCAUUUAUUUAUAUAUAUUAAUUCUAUAUGAUUGCUCUUUUAGUAAAUGUAACUAGUAGAGGAAAAAAAUACAAUAUACUAAAACAAGGCUUUUCACUAUAACUUGCAUAUUACGGUGAUAUUGCAUUUUAUCUUCCCUGAUCCAGAUUUUUACUCAAGAAGAAGAAGAAGUUUUAUCAUCACUUUAAACCCUAUUUGUCUAUAUUGAAGUUAAUUUCCUUUUUUUCAUACACAAUUGCAUGUUUAGAUAUUUCUAGUGUC